UACGUAGGGGGCUAGCGUUAUCCGGAAUUACUGGGCGUAAAGGGUGCGUAGGUGGUUUCUUAAGUCAGAGGUGAAAGGCUACGGCUCAACCGUAGUAAGCCUUUGAAACUGGGGAACUUGAGUGCAGGAGAGGAGAGUGGAAUUCCUAGUGUAGCGGUGAAAUGCGUAGAUAUUAGGAGGAACACCAGUGGCGAAGGCGGCUUCCUGGUCUGCAACUGACACUGAGGCGCGAAAGCGUGGGGAGCAAACAGG
rnacentral:rRNA from 1 species